AUGUGGAGUAUAAAAAUGGUAUUUACAGCCAGUAAACAUGGACCAGAAAGACACGUACAACUGCACACCAGCACGCACUCCCAAGCAGGCCCUCGGGGGCUCGGCGGGCGCCGCGGACACGGGUGGGGCCCCCUCGAGGCCGAUUGGCACACACUUGCACACGGGGACACACGGAACACAAGCACGCUAGAGGAGAGUCUCGAACAAUUAUCAAACUCUGGAAUAUCGAAACAAGUUGGUUCAGAAGAUUUUUUUUUUCUUUUCUAUUUUUUUCUUUUUUUUUUUCUUUUUAAAUGUUUUUUUCUUUUGAGCUUGUUAAGAUAUCUGGCGCCUCAUUUGGUAAGAGGCCUUGCUGGAUGUCCGAACGAACUUGAUUCUGUGCUUUGACGUGGGUGUUGCGGAUUGGGUAGCUGUACAGAGGCACCCCACAAAAACCCCCCACCCCACCCCACUCCCAACGAGGAAACAAAAAUCCACUGUGGUUUGAUUCUUUCCCCCCAUCUUUUUCUUCUCUUUUCUUCUUUGUACCUGCUCAGAAAGACCGGAAAAAAAGAAAAAAAAAUCUCUGUAGAGGUAUGAAGGUCAUUAUCAAGUUCAUCUCCAGUUAAAGGGGUGCUUGGCCAGUCCAGGUAGGGUCUUCCGCUACGCUUGGCAAUCCUGGUUACAAGACCUUAAAUUCGAGGCUGGUGAUUCGAAGGCAGGGACGAUGGCUGCCUGGCCUUGGGAGGGGGUGGUGAGGGGCGGGGGGGGCUCCCCCCAGCCCUGUCCGCCCCGCCUCCGACAGAAAGCUAAGGGCUACUGGUCGCAUGAGUAAGGCUAUGACUCGGGCAGGGGAGCAGAGAAGGGCUGAGGCAGGCCAGAGCGUCUCUGUUGUACCUAUAUCCAUCCGGGAGGGCAGGGCUCUGGGACAAAGGGGCGAGGUGGGGUCUGGAGGCCGCAGCUGGGACCAGGGACACUGAAGCUGGCAGAGCCCAAUGGCCCUGGAGAAUCGGUGGUGGGGGGUGCCAAAAGUCCUGGAGGUAUAUUGU
rnacentral:lncRNA from 1 species